rnacentral:rRNA from 1 species
AGAGAGAGACAUGCGCGCAUAUCAAUAAGCGGAGGAAAAGAAACUAACAAGGAUUCCCCUAGUAACGGCGAGUGAAGCGGGAAGAGCUCAAAUUUGAAAUCUUAAAGGGUUUCCCUUUACGAAUUGUAGCUUAAAGAAGUGUUUUCUGUUGAGGUUUUGGUAAAAGUUCUUUGGAAUAGGACAUCAUAGAGGGUGAGAAUCCCGUAUUUGACCUUUACUUUCAACUUUGUGAUACACUUUCAAAGAGUCGGAUUGUUUGGGAAUGCAGUCCAAAAUGGGUGGUAAAUUUCAUCUAAAGCUAAAUAUUGGCGAGAGACCGAUAGCGAACAAGUACCGUGAGGGAAAGAUGAAAAGAACUUUGAAAAGAGAGUUAAACAGUACGUGAAAUUGUCAAAAGGGAAGCGUUUGACACCAGUGUUGUUUUUCUGAAAAUCAAUUAAAGAACUGUUUAUGCUAAGUUGUUUAGACUUUAUCAGCUAUCUGUUUAGUUUUGAGCUUUUCUUUAAUGCACUUUUCAGUUAACAAGUCAACAUCAAUUUCUUUUGCUGUAAAAAAGCUUGAGGAAGGUGGCUUGAGAUUCGUCUUAAGUGUUUAUAGCCUCUUGCCUAUGCAGUCGGAGAGAUUGAGGUCUGCAGCGUAGAUCCUUCGGGGCUAAAUGCAUUUGUGCUAAGUUAUAGCAUUUUAUAGACAACUUGUUGACUAUGAUUUGUCUUGUAGCUUACUCGCUUAUGUUAUUUUACCUACGCUUAGGAUGUUGACGCAUGAGAUAUACGC